rnacentral:piRNA from 1 species
GUAAGAUGAUGUUAACUGUACAGUGCU